rnacentral:tRNA from 1 species
GUCAAGAAAUUAGCUAAGUGAUUGUUUCCAUAUUCGGGGAAACCUAGGUUGAGAAGAAUAAACAUAGUAGGUAACCCUGAGCCAAAUUUUGUUCCCCUUACAAAAUAGGUGCAGAGACUCAAAGGGAACUAUCCAAAUAAAAUGAAUUAUUUAUUAAUUAUUAGUUCGUUUUGUAAUGANAUAGGGAUAAAGAUAGAGUCCAUUUUUACACGUAAAUUAGCAAGGAUGUAAAUCAUUGUAAGAAGAAAAUCCGUUGGCUUUUUAGACCAUGAGGGUUCAAGUCCCUCUACCCCCA